GAUGAAGCUGGAGCUUGCUCUGGUGGAUUAGUGGCGAACGGGUGAGUAACACGUGAGUAACCUGCCCUUGACUCUGGAAUAAGCGUUGGAAACGACGUCUAAUACUGGAUACGAGCUUCAGCCGCAUGGCUAGGAGUUGGAAAGAAUUUCGGUCAAGGAUGGACUCGCGGCCUAUCAGGUAGUUGGUGAGGUAAUAGCUCACCAAGCCUACGACGGGUAGCCGGCCUGAGAGGGUGACCGGCCACACUGGAACUGAGACACGGUCCAGACUCCUACGGGAGGCAGCAGUGGGGAAUAUUGCACAAUGGGCGAAAGCCUGAUGCAGCAACGCCGCGUGAGGGACGACGGCCUUCGGGUUGUAAACCUCUUUUAGUAGGGAAGAAGCGAAAGUGACGGUACCUGCAGAAAAAGCACCGGCUAACUACGUGCCAGCAGCCGCGGUAAUACGUAGGGUGCAAGCGUUAUCCGGAAUUAUUGGGCGUAAAGAGCUCGUAGGCGGUUUGUCGCGUCUGCUGUGAAAACUGGAGGCUCAACCUCCAGCCUGCAGUGGGUACGGGCAGACUAGAGUGCGGUAGGGGAGAUUGGAAUUCCUGGUGUAGCGGUGGAAUGCGCAGAUAUCAGGAGGAACACCGAUGGCGAAGGCAGAUCUCUGGGCCGUAACUGACGCUGAGGAGCGAAAGCAUGGGGAGCGAACAGGAUUAGAUACCCUGGUAGUCCAUGCCGUAAACGUUGGGAACUAGAUGUAGGGACCAUUCCACGGUUUCUGUGUCGCAGCUAACGCAUUAAGUUCCCCGCCUGGGGAGUACGGCCGCAAGGCUAAAACUCAAAGGAAUUGACGGGGGCCCGCACAAGCGGCGGAGCAUGCGGAUUAAUUCGAUGCAACGCGAAGAACCUUACCAAGACUUGACAUAUACGAGAACGGGCUAGAAAUAGUUCACUCUUUGGACACUCGUAAACAGGUGGUGCAUGGUUGUCGUCAGCUCGUGUCGUGAGAUGUUGGGUUAAGUCCCGCAACGAGCGCAACCCUCGUUCUUUGUUGCCAGCACGUAAUGGUGGGAACUCAAAGGAGACUGCCG
rnacentral:rRNA from 1 species